AGUGAACGCUGGCGGUAGGCCUAACACAUGCAAGUCGAACGGCAGCACAGUAAGCUCUUGCUCUUACCGGUGGCGACUGGCGGGCGGGUGACGCAUACAUCGGCAUCUUCUUUUUCGUGGGUGAUUACGUAGGGCCACUUACGCUACUACCUCAUACAUCCUACGGGUGGAAUCAGUGGAUCUUCGCGCCUUUCCCGUUUGUAUUAGCCGAUGCCGGAUUAGCUAGUUGGCUGGGUAAGGGCCCACCAAGGCAACGAUCCGUAGCUGACCUGAGAGGAUGAUCGGCCACACUGGAACUGAGACACGGUCCAGACUCCUACGGGAGGCAGCAGUGGGGAAUAUUGGGCAAUGGGCGCAAGCCUGACCCAGCCAUACCGCGUGGGUGAAGAAGGCCUUCGGGUUGUAAAGCCCUGUUGUUGGGAAAGAAAAGCAGUAGGUGAAUACACGGCUGUUCUGACGGUACCUAAAGAAUAAGCACCGGCUAACUACGUG
rnacentral:rRNA from 1 species